rnacentral:lncRNA from 1 species
GCUAGUCGGGCGGGUGCGCGGGGCGCUCGGGGCCCGGGGCCAGAGCUGGAGCCGGAGCCGGGCGGGCGCCAUGGAGGGGCUGCGGCGGGGGCUGUCGCGCUGGAAGCGCUACCACAUCAAGGUGCACCUGGCGGACGAGGCGCUGCUGCUACCGCUGACCGUGCGGCCGCGGGACACGCUCAGCGACCUGCGCGCCCAGCUGGUGGGCCAGGGCGUGAGCUCCUGGAAGCGCGCCUUCUACUACAACGCGCGGCGGCUGGACGACCACCAGACGGUGCGCGACGCGCGCCUGCAGGACGGCUCGGUGCUGCUGCUCGUCAGCGACCCCAGGUAGUCUGGGUUGGAGGAGGCAGAGCCAUGACCAAGGGGACCUGGGUACUGGCUGAAGGAAUAGGCUGGGGUAGAGGGCACUUUUGGAAGGCACUUCUCCUGCCUCCCGGGAGCCUAGAUCUCACUCCAGGGUCUGGGCUCCCAGGUGGACCAUGAAACCCUGGCCUGACCAGCUGAUGCACACUGCUUCAGACACUCCUGCUGGAGCCCCAGUCCCUGACAAGGACCUAGGACAUUUUUGCUCCUGCCCAGCCUAUCGGGAGGGAGCCUUGAGCCUUUCAGCUCUGCUGUGUGACUUUGAGGUUGUUGCUCCCCUCUUGGGGCCCUGGGUGCCCUGUCUUCAGUGGAAAGCACUGUGCCACCUUGGAAAGCUCCCAUGGGCAGCCAGAGGGCAUCGCAAGAAGAGAAGCACAGAAGGGGCAGGAGAGACACUCAGAGGCACUUCCGCUCUUGCCCAGGACAUUUUCCCAGCCACACCUUUGCCCAAGCCGUGCCCCCUGCCUGGAGCACUUUUCAACCUCUUCUCUGCAGCUCCAAUACACCUGGGAUUGCAGUCUCCUCCAGGAAGUCUUCUCAGAUUCCCUCCUUCCCAGCCAGAGAGCACCUAGCCUUCUUUGGGGCCCCCACAGGCCCUUUGUGCAGUGAACAGCCCUGGCUGGGGGUGCAGCCAGUCGUGUCCGAACUCUCCAAUGACUAAGCGGGGAGAUGCGGACAUCCUAGCUCCUUCUCAGGCCUCCAACUGUGCCCCAUUUCCACCCCCAAAUACCUCCCCAGGAGGCACCUGUGCCCACCCCCUGGGCUGUUUCCCCCUUCCCCUUAAAUCCGGAUGCCUCGUCUUGCAUAGGGUCUUGGGGCAGCGGGGAAGGGGUUCUGAAGAACUCUGGCCAAGAGGACGAGGAUCUGGGGGUGGGGAACUGGGCCUAGCUGUGGGAGGUCAUCGCGGGGCAUUGCAGGGAGUGCGUUGUGGGAAUUCCGGGUGGAGACCCUCAGGGCAGUGUGCCGGGCCUCCGUUGCACCUCUGACCUGCAGCCACGUCAUCGUUGCGCAGCCCCUGGGGAGGGUCUUUGGGGAGGGGGUGCCGAGGCUACGCAUGUCCUCGAGGGCCGUGUACACUCUCCAGGCACCAUGGGCGGAGGCGCCAGAGGCUGGGAAGAAAUAAUGUUUUAGUUAAGAGUCCUGUUGGCUGCAGGACUCAGAGCAUGGACAGGUGGAUAGUAAAUCACCACCACGGGGACAGCCGUGCCCAGACUGUGCGUUUGCUUAGCUCGGGGACAGCACUUGGCCCGGGGUCUCCUGCUCGCCUCCCUUCAGAGCAUCUGCCAAACUUCGGGCAUCUACCCUGCAAUUCCCGCUUGGCUGAGAGGAGGGGGAGAAGGAGGGGAAGAGAGAGGAGCCCCACUUCACUCCGGCAGGCAGACCUGCUGGAGCUGCUUUGCAGAAUGACUUGGGUCUUGCUGGCCCCUGGGUGUGCCUGGAGGGGGGUCUUCCUAUCCCCCUCCACCUCUCCCCUUGGUGCCUAACCCAGGACUUUGUCCCCAGAGACCCACUGUGUGCCCCCUGGAGCUCCUCCUAGAGCAGAGUCUGCUGCUGUCUGUUCUGCAGAGGGUAGCCUGAGGCCCAAGGAGGUUGUCAGGGACACACAGCAGGGGGAGGCAGCCCAGAUCCCUGCUCAUGCGUGGUUUGGGCCUCUGCUAACAGCUGGGCCACAUGCGUGUAUCUAGAGCCUGGGUCCCCUCUGUCCUCAUUUCCCUGUGCAUAUUCAGGGACAUGCCUCGUCAGGGUUUGGCAAGAAAAUGGGGCAUUUAAUAAUCUCCCCAGUUUCAUUCCUUGGUCCUUACUCCAUGCCAGGACUUGUGCACAUCUUUUUGGAGCCCUGUCUCACUUGAUUGACAGCCGGCCAGGCGCGGUGGCUCACGCCUGUAAUCCCAGCACUUUGGGAGGACGAGGCAGGCGGAUCAUGAGGUCAGGAGAUGGAGACCAUCCUGGCUAACACGGUGAAACCCCGUCUCUACUAAAAGUACAAAAAAAAUAGCCGGGCCUGGUGGCGGGCGCCUGUAGUCCCAGCUACUUGGUAGGCUGAGGCAGGAGAAUGGCGGGAACCCGGGAGGCAGAGGUUGCAGUGAGCUGAGAUCACGCCACUGCACUCCAGCCUGGGCGACAGAGCGAGACUCCGUCUCAAAAAAAAAAAAAAAAAAGAUUGACAGCCUCACUGCUCAGGGGCCAGGAUAACAGCCCAUUUUACAGAUGGCUUUUGGCUUGCCCAAGGUCACCACCCUCUGAACUGAGGCGUCCCCAACCCAUGCCGGGAGCUGGUGGAGGAAGUGGGGAAGGGUUUCCCGCUUCUCCACUGGGGGUGGAGGUGGGAGAAAGCAUUUUCAGGGUGUUUUGACAUUUAACAAACAGUAUGCAAAUCACAUGCAAAUCGCAUGCAAAUCACCACCCAUUUCUUAAGCCUCGACAGCGCUGGCAUGUUCUGAAAUAAUAAUGUUGGACCUGUCCCUUGAUGAUGACCUGGGUCGGGAGGUGCACGGCCUUUUCCUUCCUCCGUCUUCCCUUCCCUUCCCUUCCCUUCCCAUCUGUUCUCCCUUCCUUCGCCCCCUUCCUUUCCUCUCCCUCCCUAUCUUCCAUUUUUCUCUUCUUCCUUCACAUCAUUUGUCCAAGACCUCCCUGGCCUGAGAUAAACAUAAGUUGCAAAAGUGGCUUCCUGCAGCCCAUUUUCCAGGUUGGGAAACUGAGGCAUGGGCCUAAGGUCCCACAGCCACACCGAGGAAAGCAGCCCCCACUGAAUGUCACCAUGCACCAAAGUGCAUGGUCCUCGUGACACAAAGAGGGGAGAUGACAGUGGCUGGAGUUGUCAGAGCUGCUUUGAGGAAGCUCCAGGCCUGAUAGGCUUGACAGGGCCAAGGGGAACUAUUGUGGAAUGUCUUGGCCUUGAAUGACAGGCUGCUGAUUUUGGAUCUGGAGAAAGCUCACACUGACUCUUCCUGCUCCCCCAGUCUGUUUUUCUCCUGCUACUCCAUCCAUGUAUCCCUGAGUUUGGGCCACAGUCCCUCCACUUGGUUUGCAUGUCCCACCUUCUUUGUUUGGCAAGCUCCUAUUCAUCCUUCAAAGCCCUAGCUUCAAUACCUGCUACUUCAUGCAGCCAUUGCUUAUCCUUCAAGGAGAGCCUACUUCCCUCAAGGACCCUGCUGCUUCCAGUCUCACCUUCUGACUCACUCGGGAUCCACUGAACUGGGAGGUCUGUGUCUCCUCCCAGCAGAGUCAUCACUACCUUUGGGGCCGCAGGAUCACCCAGCUUGGAACUAGAUACAGAAAUGCUGUUUUGAGAGUGUACUGAAUAAAAGAUUACAUGUUUGAAAACAA